rnacentral:rRNA from 1 species
GACGAACGCUGGCGGCGUGCCUAAUACAUGCAAGUAGAACGCUGAAGAGAGGAGCUUGCUCUUCUUGGAUGAGUUGCGAACGGGUGAGUAACGCGUAGGUAACCUGCCUGGUAGCGGGGGAUAACUAUUGGAAACGAUAGCUAAUACCGCAUGAAAUUGCUUAUCGCAUGAUAAUUAAUUGAAAGAUGCAAUUGCAUCACUACCAGAUGGACCUGCGUUGUAUUAGCUAGUUGGUGAGGUAACGGCUCACCAAGGCGACGAUACAUAGCCGACCUGAGAGGGUGAUCGGCCACACUGGGACUGAGACACGGCCCAGACUCCUACGGGAGGCAGCAGUAGGGAAUCUUCGGCAAUGGGGGGAACCCUGACCGAGCAACGCCGCGUGAGUGAAGAAGGUUUUCGGAUCGUAAAGCCCUGUUGUAAGAGAAGAACGGGUGUGAGAGUGGAAAGUUCACACUGUGACGGUAUCUUACCAGAAAGGGACGGCUAACUACGUGCCAGCAGCCGCGGUAAUACGUAGGUCCCGAGCGUUGUCCGGAUUUAUUGGGCGUAAAGCGAGCGCAGGCGGUUAGAUAAGUCUGAAGUUAAAGGCUGUGGCUUAACCAUAGUAUGCUUUGGAAACUGUUUAACUUGAGUGCAGAAGGGGAGAGUGGAAUUCCAUGUGUAGCGGUGAAAUGCGUAGAUAUAUGGAGGAACACCGGUGGCGAAAGCGGCUCUCUGGUCUGUAACUGACGCUGAGGCUCGAAAGCGUGGGGAGCAAACAGG